CUCCUUGUUAUCAAACACAGCGGCGGCAAUAGGAAAAAGAAAAAAAGAGAGAAAGGAAGAAAGAACAGGAGGCAGGGGAGAGGGAAGAGAGGAAGGGGGUGUGCCGGCGCUGGUCAACUCCGCCGUCGCCGUCGCCGCGCCCUACCGAUCGUUGUUGAGAAGGUCGAACAGAGGGGAGAGAAAGCUAGCGUUGAGAAAGGGAAGGGUCGCCGAGCUAGCGCCGUCGCGUCAGCACGGCUGUGCCGCCACGGAUGAAGAGAGAUGCGUCGGAGGGAGAGAAGGUCCGCGGUGGAGAAAGAGAGAGAGCGCUCGCGAGGGGUAUCGGAGCUGCGUUCCGCCGCCAUGCUGUGCGAAGUCACCAUCGUGCCUCGAGCCUCACCGUUGUCGUCCUCGACGUGAGCCCUUGCCGUCGUUGAUGGGGUUGAAUCCGCCGCCAGUUUGAGCUGAGGGAAAGGAAACGUGUAUAGGAGAGAGAGCAGGGGGCUUCGUGGCAGCUCCAUCGUGCCACUCCUGCCGAGCCACCGCCAAAUUCUGCCGCCGAUAAGAACCCUAGCCAUCACCGUCGAAGACGCCACCGCUGCCACUACCGUCAAUUGGGAUCAAAAUUGUUGCUGUGUUCCUAGAGCUGUCAUGGAAGUGGCUGAUUCGGUCCUAAUUCCUCCAUUGUUGAGACUGGCUGUGUUCACUUUCGAUACCUAUUCAAUUUGGAUUCUCUAUUCUGCUGUAACUACCAUUACCGUCGUGGAUUUGUUGCCACUGCUGCCAUGAAAC